CGCUAUCACUCCUACGGGAGGCAGCAGUAGGGAAUAUUGGACAAUGGACCAAAAGUCUGAUCCAGCAAUUCUGUGUGUUUGAUGAAGGCCUUCGGGUUGUAAAGAACUUUCAGUGGGGAAGAAGCAAGUGACGGUACCCACAGAAGAAGCGACGGCUAAAUACGUGCCAGCAGCCGCGGUAAUACGUAUGUCGCAAGCGUUAUCCGGAAUUAUUGGGCAUAAAGGGCGUCUAGGCGGUCUAAUAAGUCUGAUGUAGAAAAUGCGGGGCUCAACUCCGUAUUGCGUUGGAAACUGUUAGACUAGUAGUUUUGGAGAGGUAGGCGGAACUACAAGUGUAGAGGUGAAAUUCGUAGGGAUUUGUAGGAAUGCCGAUGACGAAGGUAGCUUACUGGACAAAUACUGACGCUGAAGCGCGAAAGCUAGGGGAGCAAACAGGAUUAGAUACCCUGGUAG
rnacentral:rRNA from 1 species